UACGUAGGUGACCAGCGUUGUCCGGAUUUACUGGGCGUAAAGGGCGCGUAGGCGGUUCGCUAAGUCGGAUGUGAAAACUCUGGGCUCAACCCAGAGCCUGCAUCCGAAACUGGCGGGCUAGAGUUCUGGAGGGGGUAGCGGAAUUCCUGGUGUAGCGGUGAAAUGCGUAGAUAUCAGGAGGAACACCGGUGGCGAAGGCGGCUACCUGGACAGAAACUGACGCUGAGGCGCGAAAGCUAGGGGAGCAAACAGG
rnacentral:rRNA from 1 species